rnacentral:rRNA from 1 species
AUUCAAUAAGCGGAGGAAAAGAAACCAACAGGGAUUGCCUCAGUAACGGCGAGUGAAGCGGCAACAGCUCAAAUUUGAAAUCUGGCCCCUUCGGGGUCCGAGUUGUAAUUUGCAGAGGGUGCUUUUGGUGUUGGCCGUGGUCUAAGUUCCUUGGAACAGGACGUCACAGAGGGUGAGAAUCCCGUACGUGGCCGCCGGCCCUCGCCUUGUAAAGCCCCUUCGACGAGUCGAGUUGUUUGGGAAUGCAGCUCUAAAUGGGAGGUAAAUUUCUUCUAAAGCUAAAUACCCGCCAGAGACCGAUAGCGCACAAGUAGAGUGAUCGAAAGAUGAAAAGCACUUUGGAAAGAGAGUGAAAAAGCACGUGAAAUUGUUGAAAGGGAAGCGCUUGCGGCCAGACGUGCCCGCGGUUGUUCAUCUGGGCUCUCGCCCGGUGCACUCCUCCGCGGGCAGGCCAGCAUCAGUUUGGGCGGUCGGACAAAGGUCUCUAUCACGUACCACCCCUCGGGGUGGCCUUAUAGGGGAGACGCAACACGGCCAGCCUGGACUGAGGUUCCGCGCAUCUGCUAGGAUGCUGGCGUAAUGGCAGCAAGCGGCCCGUCUUGAAACACGGACCAAGGAGUCUAACAUCUAUGCGAGUGUUUGGGUGUCAAGCCCGAGCGCGUAAUGAAAGUGAACGGAGGUGGGAACCCCUCGGGGCGCACCAUCGACCGAUCCUGAUGUCUUCGGAUGGAUUUGAGUAAGAGCAUAGCUGUUGGGACCCGAAAGAUGGUGAACUAUGCCUGAAUAGGGUGAAGCCAGAGGAAACUCUGGUGGAGGCUCGCAGCGGUUCUGACGUGCAAAUCGAUCGUCAAAUUUGGGCAUA